rnacentral:rRNA from 1 species
CGUGAGAUGUUGGGUUAAGUCCCGCAACGAGCGCAACCCUUGUCCGUAGUUGCCAUCAUUCAGUUGGGCACUCUACGGAGACCGCCGGUGACAAAUCGGAGGAAGGUGGGGACGACGUCAAGUCAUCAUGGCCCUUAUGACCAGGGCUACACACGUGCUACAAUGGCCGGUACAGAGGGUUGCCAACCCGCGAGGGGGAGCUAAUCCCAGAAAGCCGGUCGUAGUCCAGAUCGGAGUCUGCAACUCGACUCCG